rnacentral:rRNA from 1 species
UACGGAGGGGGCUAGCGUUGCUCGGAAUUACUGGGCGUAAAGGGCGCGUAGGCGGGUAGUUUAGUCAGAGGUGAAAGCCCAGGGCUCAACCCUGGAAUUGCCUUUGAUACUGGCUAUCUUGAGUUCGGGAGAGGUGAGUGGAACUCCGAGUGUAGAGGUGAAAUUCGUAGAUAUUCGGAAGAACACCAGUGGCGAAGGCGACUCACUGGCCCGAUACUGACGCUGAGGCGCGAAAGCGUGGGGAGCAAACAGG